rnacentral:rRNA from 1 species
ACGGGAGGCAGCAGUGGGGGAUAUUGCACAAUGGGGGCAACCCUGAUCCAGCGACGCCGCGUGAGUGAAGAAGUAUUUCGGUAUGUAAAGCUCUAUCAGCAGGGAAGAUGAUGACGGUACCUGACUAAGAAGCCCCGGCUAACUACGUGCCAGCAGCCGAGGUAAUACGUAGGGGGCAAGCGUUAUCCGGAUUUACUGGGUAUAAAGGGAGUGUAGGCGGCUUAGCACGUCAGAAGUGAAAACCCGGGGCUUAACUCCGGGACUGCUUUUGAAACUGUUGGGCUUGAGUGCAGGAGAGGUAAGCGGAAUUCCUAGUGUAGCGGUGAAAUGCGUAGAUAUUAGGAAGAACACCGGUGGCGAAUGCGGCUUACUGGACUGAGACUGACGCUGAGGCUCGAAAGCGUGGGGAGCAAACAGGAUUAGAUACCCUGGUA